rnacentral:rRNA from 1 species
UACGGAGGGUGCAAACGUUGCUCGGAAUCAUUGGGCGUAAAGCGCACGUAGGCGGCCUGUUAAGUCGGGUGUGAAAGCCCGGGGCUCAACCCCGGGAUGCCGCCCGAGACUGGGUCGCUUGAGGACGGAAGAGGGGAGUGGAAUUCCUGGUGUAGCGGUGAAAUGCGUAGAGAUCAGGAGGAACACCCGUGGCGAAGGCGGCUCCCUGGUCCGUUUCUGACGCUGAGACGCGAAAGCGCGGGGAGCGAACGGG